CCUACGGGAGGCAGCAGUGAGGGAUAUUGGUCAAUGGGGGAAACCCUGAACCAACAACGCCGCGUGAGGGAAGACGGUUUUCGGAUUGUAAACCUCUGUCCUCUGUGAAGAUAAUGACGGUAGCAGAGGAGGAAGCUCCGGCUAACUACGUGCCAGCAGCCGCGGUAAUACGUAGGGAGCAAGCGUUGUCCGGAUUUACUGGGUGUAAAGGGUGUGUAGGCGGCCCUGCAAGUCAGAAGUGAAAUCCAUGGGCUUAACCCGUGAACUGCUUUUGAAACUGUAGGGCUUGAGUGAAGUAGAGGGAGGGGGAUUGCCGGGUGGCGGGGGAAAAUGGGUAGAGAGGGGGAAGAA
rnacentral:rRNA from 1 species